rnacentral:rRNA from 1 species
GUCCACGCCGUAAACGAUGAUUACUAGGUGUUCGGUCUUAUAGGCUGAGUGCCCAAGCGAAAGCGAUAAGUAAUCCACCUGGGGAGUACGUUGGCAACAAUGAAACUCAAAGGAAUUGACGGGGGCCCGCACAAGCGGUGGAGCAUGUGGUUUAAUUCGAUGAUACGCGAGGAACCUUACCUGGGCUAUAAUGCCUCUGCUAUCUGCCGAAAGGUGGAGUUUCUUCGGAACAGAGUGCAAGGUGCUGCAUGGUU